UACGUAGGGGGCUAGCGUUGUCCGGAAUCAUUGGGCGUAAAGAGCGCGUAGGCGGCCAGGUAAGUCCGGUGUGAAAGUCACAGGCUCAACCUGUGAAUGCCGCUGGAAACUGUCUGGCUAGAGUCCGGGAGGGGCGAGUGGAAUUCCUGGUGUAGCGGUGAAGUGCGCAGAUAUCAGGAGGAACACCAAUGGCGAAGGCAGCUCUCUGGGACGGUACUGACGCUGAGACGCGAAAGCGUGGGGAGCGAACAGG
rnacentral:rRNA from 1 species